rnacentral:rRNA from 1 species
AACAGGAUUAGAUACCCUGGUAGUCCACGCCGUAAACGAUGUCGACUUGGAGGUUGUGCCCUUGAGGCGUGGCUUCCGGAGCUAACGCGUUAAGUCGACCGCCUGGGGAGUACGGCCGCAAGGUUAAAACUCAAAUGAAUUGACGGGGGCCCGCACAAGCGGUGGAGCAUGUGGUUUAAUUCGAUGCAACGCGAAGAACCUUACCUACUCUUGACAUCCAGAGAACUUAGCAGAGAUGCUUUGGUGCCUUCGGGAACUCUGAGACAGGUGCUGCAUGGCUGUCGUCAGCUCGUGUUGUGAAAUGUUGGGUUAAGUCCCGCAACGAGCGCAACCCUUAUCCUUUGUUGCCAGCACGUAAUGGUGGGAACUCAAAGGAGACUGCCGGUGAUAAACCGGAGGAAGGUGGGGAUGACGUCAAGUCAUCAUGGCCCUUACGAGUAGGGCUACACACGUGCUACAAUGGCAUAUACAAAGAGAAGCGAACUCGCGAGAGCAAGCGGACCUCAUAAAGUAUGUCGUAGUCCGGAUUGGAGUCUGCAACUCGACUCCAUGAAGUCGGAAUCGCUAGUAAUCGUAGAUCAGAAUGCUACGGUGAAUACGUUCCCGGGCCUUGUACACACCGCCCGUCACACCAUGGGAGUGGGUUGCAAAAGAAGUAGGUAGCUUAACCUUCGGGAGGGCGCUUACCACUUUGUGAUUCAUGACUGGGGUGAAGUCGUAACAAGGUAACC